rnacentral:rRNA from 1 species
CCUGAUCCAGCCAUGCCGCGUGUGUGAAGAAGGCCUUUUGGUUGUAAAGCACUUUAAGCGAGGAGGAGGCUACUUGGAUUAAUACUCUAGGAUAGUGGACGUUACUCGCAGAAUAAGCACCGGCUAACUCUGUGCCAGCAGCCGCGGUAAUACAGAGGGUGCGAGCGUUAAUCGGAUUUACUGGGCGUAAAGCGUGCGUAGGCGGCUUUUUAAGUCGGAUGUGAAAUCCCUGAGCUUAACUUAGGAAUUGCAUUCGAUACUGGGAAGCUAGAGUAUGGGAGAGGAUGGUAGAAUUCCAGGUGUAGCGGUGAAAUGCGUAGAGAUCUGGAGGAAUACCGAUGGCGAAGGCAGCCAUCUGGCCUAAUACUGACGCUGAGGUACGAAAGCAUGGGGAGCAAACAGGAUUAGAUACCCUGGUAGUCCAUGCCGUAAACGAUGUCUACUAGCCGUUGGGGCCUUUGAGGCUUUAGUGGCGCAGCUAACGCGAUAAGUAGACCGCCUGGGGA